CCAGGUCCGCUUCCUGGUGCAACUCGACUUCCAGGACAAGCGCUCCGUAGUUUCUACGCUCCAGGUCCGCUACCUGGUGAAACUCGACUUCCAGAACAAGCGCUCCGUGGUUCCUGCUCUCCAGGUCCGCUAUCUGGUGAAAUUCGACUUCCAGGACAAGCGCCUCGUAGUUUCUACGCUCCAGGUCCGGUUCCUGGUGAAACUUGACUUCUAGGACAUGCGCUCCAUGAUUCCGGCGCUUGAGGUCGACCACCUGGUGAAACUCGACUUCCAGGACAAGCGCUCAUUUAUUAGUAUUCGACGUAUAGCCCGAAGUGGUUAGCGUUGGUCGUUGGAGGUGGUAGGCGGUGGUUGCGGCUGAUCGAGGUGGACGAGGAGAAGGAUGUCGAGGAAGAGGAGGAGACGAAGUGGACGAGGAGGACGAGGAUUUGUGCACGGUACAAUCCGCAGUGGUUAUCGGUGGUUGUUGGAGGUGGUUGCCGGUGGUUGGAGGUGGUCGGAGGUGGACGAGGAGGAGGACGAUGAGGACGAUGAUUUGUGUUCGGUGUAACCCGAGGUGGUUAUCGGUAGUUGUUGGAGGUGAUCAGAGGUGGACGAGGAGGAGGACGUGGAAGACGAGGAAAACAAGGUCUACGAGGAGGACGAGGAUUUGUGCUUGAUGAGUUUAACAUUUUUAUAAUAUUUGAUGCAGUAGGAGUAGGAUCAGAAGUGAAUGCAGACAGCAUCAUGUCGAAAUCGUCAACUCUAUGAUGUUCUGCAAUAAGUUCUCAACUCUACCGUUGGAACAUCUCUGGGGGCGCAAGCGCACGACGAUUUUCGGUUGUCACACCAAAACCCAUAAGGGGCAACUGUCUUUAUAUUCUUCUGUCACGCGUGAAGAAAUCGAUCCUGAAAAUGAUGGUGACGCCUGUUCGAUGUCAGCUGGUGACAAAAAUGUGUGGCGGGUAACCUAACAUUAGGGUUUGACUUUUAGGCCGCAUAGAUAGUGAAUUUUGUGGCGUGUGUGAUUGAAAAUGAUUAAUACAUUUUAUAAGUCUGUAGGUAUGAAACAAAAUUUCAUGCCAUCAAUUUAAAUAUCUAGAUUUGCACCGGUAAAUAGUGUUUGCGUCCGAAUUCUACAACCAUCCAUCGGGUGUCAGUAUGGAACGUAACUUGUAUAAUACAGUGAACUGUAAUAUAUAACAGUCGAGGUCACAUAGCAAUGCAAAAGGAUGAUUGAAUAUUAAAUAAUAAAUCUGAAUAUUACGUCAGAAAUAAAAAGUGCAACGAAUAUUAUCUGAUGCUAAAAAUGAGGGAUAUUGUGUAAUGCAGUGAUUAUCGUAAAUUGGAGGUAUUACUCAAGUAAUGACCUGCGUACAGGUGCAAUGCUCUUUCGCAGAACAUAACAUGAAUGAUACUCUAUCAUUAGUACUUGAUGCAAACUGGAUUAAAAUGAAUAAAUGAUUGAAAAUUUG
rnacentral:lncRNA from 1 species